rnacentral:misc_RNA from 1 species
AGCAAUAUUAUUAGUUACACCAACCCCAUUUUGUUACAGUGUAUGCUUCUGGGGUUACUAAUGAUAUUUGCUUGAACAAUAAAAAAAAAUCUGUGAAUGCUAAUGAUAUUUACUCUGAAAUCAAUUCUUCAAUCCAAAUCUGUGGCAUGCAAUUGUAGUACUUUUCUACCUAGAGAAUUGACAGUUAUAGAAAGCACAAUUGAUGGAUCAUUGACAAAAACAUAACAGGAAGUGUUAUUUUGAAACAUUGCCAACUGUUAGCCAAUAGCCAUUCCUUCUGAUGCAGUAUGGACUACGGAAAGAUAGAAUUUAUGUGUUAUGUUCAUUGCAAAAUUA